rnacentral:rRNA from 1 species
UACGUAGGGUGCAAGCGUUGUCCGGAAUUAUUGGGCGUAAAGAGCUUGUAGGCGGUUUGUCGCGUCUGCUGUGAAAUUUCGGGGCUCAACCCCGAACUUGCAGUGGGUACGGGCAGACUAGAGUUCGGUAGGGGAGACUGGAAUUCCUGGUGUAGCGGUGAAAUGCGCAGAUAUCAGGAGGAACACCGGUGGCGAAGGCGGGUCUCUGGGCCGUAACUGACGCUGAGGAGCGAAAGCGUGGGGAGCGAACAGG